rnacentral:rRNA from 1 species
GACGAACGCUGGCGGCGUGCUUAACACAUGCAAGUCGAACGAAGAGCGAUGGAAGCUUGCUUCUAUCAAUAUUAGUGGCGAACGGGUGAGUAACGCGUAAUCAACCUGCCCUUCAGAGGGGGACAACAGUUGGAAACGACUGCUAAUACCGCAUACGAUCUAAUCUCGGCAUCGAGGAUAGAUGAAAGGUGGCCUCUACAUGUAAGCUAUCACUGAAGGAGGGGAUUGCGUCUGAUUAGCUAGGUGGAGGGGUAACGGCCCAGCAAGGCGAGGAUCAGUAGCCGGUCAGAGAGGAUGAACGGCCACACUGGGACUGAGACACGGCCCAGACUCCUACGGGAGGCAGCAGGGGGGAAUCUUCCGCAAUGGACGAAAUGCUGACGGAGCAACGCCGCGGGAGUGAUGACGGCCUUCGGGUUGUAAAGCUCUGUUAAUCGGGACGAAAGGCCUUCUUGCGAACAGUUAGAAGGAUUGACGGUACCGGAAUAGAAAGCCACGGCUAACUACGUG